rnacentral:rRNA from 1 species
GACGAACGCUGGCGGCGUGCUUAACACAUGCAAGUCGAACGAUGAAGCCGGAGCUUGCUCCGGUGGAUUAGUGGCGAACGGGUGAGUAACACGUGAGCAAUCUGCUCUUGACUCUGGGAUAACUGCGGGAAACUGUAGCUAAUACAUGAUACGACACCUUGGGUCAUCCCAGUGUGUGGAAAGAAUUUCGGUCAAGGAUGAGCUCGCGGCCUAUCAGCUAGUUGGUGAGGUAAUGGCUCACCAAGGCGACGACGGGUAGCCGGCCUGAGAGGGUGACCGGCCACACUGGAACUGAGACACGGUCCAGACUCCUACGGGAGGAAGCAGUGGGGAAUAUUGCACAAUGGGCGAAAGCCUGAUGCAGCAACGCCGCGUGAGGGAUGAAGGCCUUCGGGUUGUAAACCUCUUUUAGCAGGGAAGAAGCGAAAGUGACAGUACCUGCAGAAAAAGCACCGGCUAACUACGUGCCAGCCGCCGCCGUAA